CUUAUAUUUGGAAUGAGGUGAGCAUUAUAUUCAGAGGUUUACAGUAUACAGUUGAAAAAUGCUUGCACUUUCUUGUCAUAGACACAUAUUUCUGUGUGCAUAUAGAACAGCUUAAACGUCAGGUUCUCAUGUCGAUCCAAUGGUAAUUUGAUAUCGCUGCCAUCACCAUAAUAUAGUGUAGCACAGAAUGGCCUGUAUGUAUCAUAUUAAUUUUUUGACAUCAUGCAUGCAGAAAUGCCUUGGUCAUUCAUGUGGAGAUAUUACUAUCACGAUAGAAUUAGUUAAUUACGCCAAGUAACACGUCGUACACGUCAGGUAGCAGCUGAAAUAUCUUAAUAUUUGCCAUAAUAAGCCCAUAACCUGUUGGCAAAACAUCUUCAUCCUUUUACAAUGGGCCAAUGGCCGAGGUACAUUUGAAUGUCUCGUCUUUUAACGAAUAUUCAAG